rnacentral:rRNA from 1 species
UACGAAGGGUGCAAGCGUUAAUCGGAAUUACUGGGCGUAAAGCGCGCGUAGGUGGUUCAGUAAGUUGGAAGUGAAAUCCCCGGGCUCAACCUGGGAACUGCUUUCAAAACUGCCGAGCUAGAGUACGGUAGAGGGUGGUGGAAUUUCCUGUGUAGCGGUGAAAUGCGUAGAUAUAGGAAGGAACACCAGUGGCGAAGGCGACCACCUGGACUGAUACUGAGACUGAGGUGCGAAAGCGUGGGGAGCAAACAGG